rnacentral:ncRNA from 1 species
GCGUGGGUCGGCCCGCUGCACUGGGUCCAGCGGGCUGGGGGAACACCCGCCGUCCCCAUCCCCGCGGGCGGCGGACCGGUCCGGGAGGCGCAGCGGUGCCUCCCGGACUGCG